rnacentral:lncRNA from 1 species
AUUCACACUACUGCGUUUUGCUGUGUAUAGUGUUGUUUAGCACUGUGUAAUUGUUUCCCAAUGGCGCCAAAGAGGAAAGUUCCUGCCGAAAAUCCCGCUUCUAAGGCAAAACGUCCUACCUCAAGCAAUCGGGAGUCGCGUAAGGAAGAUUCUGAUCCUAAAACCAUGUCUCAAUUAUUUAAUGCUUUCAAGUGUUUUAUGAAUGAUUUUGAACAACGUAUUGCUAACCGUUUGCCAACGUCCUCCCCUUCUCCUAGUUUUAUUCCUGACACGGCGCCUGAUGCCCCAUCCCUCGAUGGUGAGCUGCCUGGCACAUCUGCGUCAUUAUUUAACGAAUCCCAAUUCGCAAGCGCAGGUACGCGGGCCAUGUUGUCAGCUAAUCAACCUCCACAGACUCGUGCUAGGUCCCGAAUGUCCCGCGCCUUGUCAGCAGCAACACAUGCUACAGGUCGAUUGGCUUCUGUUCCACCCGAUAACAUGUCUAUGUCUCAGUCUUCUUCUAGUCUUCUUCAGAGCUCUCAGCCAGGGGUUCAACUUCCUGAGUCCGAGAUCUCUGAUGGUGAGGAGGUGCAGCUUCAGGCAUCAGCCGAGCAACAACCCACCACAACAGAUAAGCCGGCAGGGAAGAGACGCUCCAAGAAGAAACACGUUUACGAGAAGUCUAGAUCGCGGGAUACGGAUGAGGAGUCAGAUGAACUGCUUCCACUUAGCAUCUUCGGCCCAGCAGCUGCCGGAACCUUUCUCAGACCACCUCUGGAGCAUUGGAAAUGUGAAGUUAUCAAGGGAGUAUUAGCCUCACUGGAACCUUCUACUCUCAGGUCGUAUAAGAAAGCCUGGUGCGAUUUCCUGGAUUUCAGAUCCAAGGUUUCAGCUCUUGCCCCCAAUAUCCUGCCCACUACUGAUCACGUGUUACACUACCUAGCGCACCUGCAUAAUUUGGGAUGUGCAGCAGAAACCUUAAGAAUCCAUUCGGCUGC